rnacentral:rRNA from 1 species
GACGAACGCUGGCGGUGUGCUUAACACAUGCAAGUCGAACGGUAAGGCCCUUUCGGGGGUACACGAGUGGCGAACGGGUGAGUAACACGUGAGUAACCUGCCCUCAUCUCUGGGAUAACAGUCGGAAACGGUUGCUAAUACUGGAUAUGAGCUUGCAAGGAAUCUUGUGGGUUGGAAAGAUUUUUUUGGUUGGGGAUGGACUCGCGGCCUAUCAGCUUGUUGGUGAGGUAGUGGCUCACCAAGGCUUCGACGGGUAGCCGGCCUGAGAGGGCGACCGGCCACAUUGGGACUGAGAUACGGCCCAAACUCCUACGGGAGGCAGCAGUGGGGAAUAUUGCACAAUGGACGGAAGUCUGAUGCAGCAACGCCGCGUGCGGGAUGACGGCCUUCGGGUUGUAAACCGCUUUCAAUUGUGACGAAGCUUUUUGUGACGGUAGCAGUAGAAGAAGCACCGGCUAACUACGUG